UACGUAGGCAGCGAGCGUUGUUUCGGAAUUACUGGGCGUAAAGAGUGUGUAGGCGGUGCUCUAAGUUCGGUGUGAAAUCUCCCGCUUAACUGGGAGGGUGCGCCGGAAACUGGAGUGCUCGAGCGUGGGAGAGGAAAGCGGAAUCCUGGUGUAGCGGUGAAAUGCGUAGAUAUCAGGAGGAACACCUGCGGUGUAGACGGCUUUUCUGGACCAUUGCUGACGCUGAGACACGAAAGCGUGGGUAGCAAACAGG
rnacentral:rRNA from 1 species